UAAAACUGUGGUAAUUCAACAACAAAAACACGCUGCGAAACCCCAACAAACGGAGGGGUGCGCUUUGUUACUUCAAAUCAAUCGGACUUCGGUCUGAUAUCAAAUGAAAUUGAACAAUUUAGCUGAUCGCACGGUCUUGAACCGGCGACAUAUCCUUCAAACGUCUGCCUUAUCAACUGUCGAUGGUAGAUUAUGCGCCUACCAUGGUUGUAACGGGUAACGGAGAAUCAGGGUUUGAUUCCGGAGAGGGAGCCUGAGAAACGGCUACCACAUCCAAGGAAGGCAGCAGGCACGCAAAUUACCCACUCCCGGCACGGGGAGGUAGUGACGAAAAUUAACAAGCUGGUCUCUAUGAGUUCCGGCAUUGUAAUGGGAACAAUUUAAAUCAUUUAUCGAGGAUCUAUUGGAGGGCAAGUCUGGUGCCAGCAGCCGCGGUAAUUCCAGCUCCAAUAGCGUAUAUUAAAGUUGUUGCGGUUAAAAAGCUCGUAGUUGGAUCUACGACCAAGUCUUGUGGUCGCUCUGCCUGAGUGAACUGCAUUGACUGGUCCAUUUAUCUAGUAUUCGAUUGAUGCUCUUCACUGAGUGUCUCUAGUUGCUGGAACUUUUACCUUGAAAAAAUUGAAGUGCUCAAAGCAGGCUAAAGCCUGAACAUUGCUGCAUGGGAUAAUAGAAUAGGACUUCGGUUAUAUUUUGUUGGUUUCGGAACACGAAGUAAUGAUUAAUAGGGACAGACGGGGGCAUUCGUAUUGCUGCGUUAGAGGUGAAAUUCUUGGAUCGUAGCAAGACGAACUACUGCGAAAGCAUUUGCCAAGAAUGUUUUCAUUAAUCAAGAACGAAAGUUAGAG
rnacentral:rRNA from 1 species